UCGAAGGUAGCAUAAUCAGUAGUCUUUUAAUUGAAGGCUGGAAUGAAUGGUUGGACGAGAUAUUAACUGUUUCAUAAAAAUUUUUUAUAGAAUUUUAUUUUUUAGUUAAAAAGCUAAAAUGAAUUUAAAAGACGAGAAGACCCUAUAAAUCUUUAUAUAAGUUUUAUUAUAAUUUUUUAGAUUUUAUUUUAUUAUAAUAAAUUAUUAUAUUUUAUUGGGGUGAUAUUAAAAUUUAAUAAACUUUUAAUUUAUAAUAUUCAUUAAUAUAUGAAUGAAUGAUCCGUUUUUAACGAUUAAAAAAUCAAGUUACUUUAGGGAUAACAGCGUAAUUUUUUUGGAGAGUUCAUAUCGAUAAAAAAGAUUGCGACCUC
rnacentral:rRNA from 1 species